GAGUAAUGCGUGACCAACCUGCCCCAUGCUCCAGAAUAGCUCUUGGAAACGGGUGGUAAUGCUGGAUGCUCCAACUUGACGCAUGUCUUGUUGGGAAAGUGUUUAGUGGCAUGGGAUGGGGUCGCGUCCUAUCAGCUUGUAGGCGGGGUAAUGGCCCACCUAGGCUUCGACGGGUAGCCGGCCUGAGAGGGCGGACGGCCACAUUGGGACUGAGAUACGGCCCAGACUCCUAGGGAGGCAGCAGC
rnacentral:rRNA from 1 species